rnacentral:rRNA from 1 species
AACGAACGCUGGCGGCAGGCUUAACACAUGCAAGUCGAGCGCCCCGCAAGGGGAGCGGCAGACGGGUGAGUAACGCGUGGGAAUCUACCCAUCUCUACGGAAUAACGCAUGGAAACGUGUGCUAAUACCGUAUACGUCCUUCGGGAGAAAGAUUUAUCGGAGAUGGAUGAGCCCGCGUUGGAUUAGCUAGUUGGUGGGGUAAAGGCCUACCAAGGCGACGAGCCAUAGCUGGGCUGAGAGGAUGAUCAGCCACACUGGGACUGAGACACGGCCCAGACUCCUACGGGAGGCAGCAGUGGGGAAUAUUGGACAAUGGGCGCAAGCCUGAUCCAGCCAUGCCGCGUGAGUGAUGAAGGCCCUAGGGUUGUAAAGCUCUUUCACCGGUGAAGAUAAUGACGGUAACCGGAGAAGUAGCCCCGGCUAACUUCGUGCCAGCCGCCGCAGUAAAAC